rnacentral:lncRNA from 1 species
UAGGUGCAACCCAAGGGGAUUAGGCUCAGAUGAUGUGGCAAUUAUUGGUGACAUGGAAUUGGAUUUCAUGAAUUUUAAAUAAACCAAAAUUAUUGUAUGGCACAUGGACCCAUUGCUUGACACAUGGCGACAUUGUUUGUUAUUUGAAUUUAAAUUCAAACAUUAAGCAAUGUGUUAAAUGAUUUUAAUUACUCAAACCAUCAGCCAAGGUGGCGUCUGAGUUUUUGAAUGGAUUAAAUUCGAAUUUCAAGAGGUGAUUUCGAAAUUAUGAAGUGUUUUACCUUGCCGCAUGGAUUUCAAAUUCCUUCCCUCUUGCACAUGUGUUUAAAAUUUGAAUUUAAAUCAGAUUUGGUUGAGAUCUGAUUUGGGUUGUUCCUAUUCCUUUGCAUGUGCCAACUAAAAGAGGUUUUCUGAAAAUAAAUUUUGAAUUUUGAAUGAAAAUUCGGAGGCCAUUAAAAGGGGUCAAACAUGGGCACCAAAAAC